rnacentral:tRNA from 1 species
GUGUGUAGCUCAGCAGUAUAGCACUUGCCUAGUAUGCAUGAGGCCCUGGGUUUGGUCCCCAGCACAC